UGGGGAAUAUUGCACAAUGGAGGGAACUCUGAUGCAGCGACGCCGCGUGAACGAAGAAGGCUUUCGAGUCUUAAAGUUCUUUUAUAUGGGAAGAUAAUGACGGUACCAUAAGAAAAAGCCCCGGCUAACUACGUGCCAGCAGCCGCGGUAAUACGUAGGGGGCUAGCGUUGUCCGGAAUCACUGGGCGUAAAGGGUUCGCAGGCGGAAAUGCAAGUCAGGUGUAAAAGGCAGUAGCUUAACUACUGUAAGCAUUUGAAACUGCAUAUCUUGAGAAGAGUAGAGGUAAGUGGAAUUUUUAGUGUAGCGGUGAAAUGCGUAGAUAUUAGAAAGAAUACCGGUGGCGAAGGCGACUUACUGGGCUCAUUCUGACGCUGAGGAACGAAAGCGUGGGUAGCAAACAGG
rnacentral:rRNA from 1 species